UACGUAGGGGGCAAGCGUUGUCCGGAUUUAUUGGGCGUAAAGAGCUCGUAGGCGGUUCAGCAAGUCGGGUGUGAAAAUCUGGGCUCAACCCAGUGGAGCACCCGAUACUACUGUGACUAGAGUCCGGUAGGGGAGUGUGGAAUUCCUGGUGUAGCGGUGAAAUGCGCAGAUAUCAGGAGGAACACCAACGGCGAAGGCAGCACUCUGGGCCGGUACUGACGCUGAGGAGCGAAAGCGUGGGGAGCGAACAGG
rnacentral:rRNA from 1 species